UACGUAGGGUGCGAGCGUUAAUCGGAAUUACUGGGCGUAAAGCGUGCGCAGGCGGUUCGUUAAGUCAGCUGUGAAAGCCCCGGGCUCAACCUGGGAAUUGCGGUUGAAACUGGCGAACUAGAAUCUGGCAGAGGGGGUGGAAUUCCACGUGUAGCAGGUGAAAUGCGUAGAGAUGUGGAGGAACACCGGAUGGCGAAGGCAGCCCCCUGGGCUGAGAUUGACGCUCAGGCA
rnacentral:rRNA from 1 species